GGGAAAACAUGGCGGAGCUGGUUCGAGCCUUCUUGCAUUUUGGCUGACCGGAGCAGUGGUGUAUGAUGGUUCUUCUGAGAGACUAAACCUAUCACAUAAAAAGACAGGAUGAAGUCCAAACUCCCUAACCUGGCAUUCACGGCCUCCCACAAUCUCACCCCAACCCCUUCCUAGCUUCUUCCCUCUGGCAAUUCUGCGUCCCUCACCCCAAAUCCCAUUGUAGCUACAAGUCUGGCGGCCAUUCAUGCAGCUGUGCCCCCUCUUCCUGGAAUAGGAUUCCCACUCUCCCUUAAGAACGACAGCACGUCCUUAAAGAAAGCAUCUCAAUGAGUAGAGAAAGGGUUAACAGUAGGCAGGGAUACAUAGGUACCCUCCAGAGGUUGAUUGCAGCGGUCCUACUCCUUGCGUCCACCGUACCCCCAGCCCCUGGCUGCAGAUGCGAGUGGGAGGCUAUAACUGCGGACGGGUUUUGGGGGGGGGGGGGGCGGGUGGGAAGAUAAACGAUUCCAGACCUGCCCAUGCUAGGUGCCAUGAAUAGAGUUUCACAGACUUUUAUCCAGUUCCUGGUAAGGUCCCAAUAAAAAGUCAGAGACAAAAGUCCUUGGCGGCAACCCAACUGGGACCCCUCUCCUUCUCAAGAGCUUUGUACUUUCGCUCAAUAAAUUCUAUCGCUUUGCUCAACU